UCUUUGGACACUCGUGAACAGGUGGUGCAUGGUUGUCGUCAGCUCGUGUCGUGAGAUGUUGGGUUAAGUCCCGCAACGAGCGCAACCCUCGUUCUAUGUUGCCAGCGCGUAAUGGCGGGAACUCAUAGGAGACUGCCGGGGUCAACUCGGAGGAAGGUGGGGAUGACGUCAAAUCAUCAUGCCCCUUAUGUCUUGGGCUUCACGCAUGCUACAAUGGCCGGUACAAAGGGCUGCAAUACCGUAAGGUGGAGCGAAUCCCAAAAAGCCGGUCUCAGUUCGGAUUGAGGUCUGCAACUCGACCUCAUGAAGUCGGAGUCGCUAGUAAUCGCAGAUCAGCAACGCUGCGGUG
rnacentral:rRNA from 1 species